GUAUUUUCUGAUAUUACAUAUACGAAAAUUGGAAGAUUAUAAAGAAAAUUAGCACGGCCUAUGCGAGAUGAUGUCUGGCAAACUUAUUAGGUGCUCCAUAUGUGC